rnacentral:rRNA from 1 species
CACGCCGUAAACGAUGAGUGCUAAGUGUUAGGGGGUUUCCGCCCCUUAGUGCUGCAGCAAACGCAUUAAGCACUCCGCCUGGGGAGUACGGUCGCAAGACUGAAACUCAAAGGAAUUGACGGGGGCCCGCACAAGCGGUGGAGCAUGUGGUUUAAUUCGAAGCAACGCGAAGAACCUUACCAGGUCUUGACAUCCCGUUGACCGCUAUGGAGACAUAGCUUUCCCUUCGGGGACAAUGGUGACAGGUGG